rfam:Candidatus Andersenbacteria bacterium RIFCSPHIGHO2_12_FTLL_45_11b rifcsphigho2_12_scaffold_17215, whole genome shotgun sequence.
GGCCAUGUCGCCAAGUGGUAAGGCAUGGGUCUGCAAAACCCUUAUACGCCGGUUCGAUUCCGGCCAUGGCCU